UGAAGGUCAUUUUCCGCAUUUUGGGUGGUUCAGGUACAUAUAUAAAGACUGGGUUCCUAUCUGACCGUGUUGUCCCAGAAUCUACAGCUGUAGUGCUUAAUGUUUUUCAUACCUCAAGCACUAAACAUGAAGCUAUUGGCUGCAGCCAUCCUUUUGUUAUUUCUUGGCUUGGCUAUAGGAACAUACGUUGUGCCAUACUACCCUUCUCUCGCUUCCAUUGCAGCUGCCCCCUACCCUAUUGUCUACUCUUAUAACUAUGGAUAUUCUGCUCCCUUAUCAGCUGUGUGGCCAUUAUGGUAUGGCAAGUAACCAGAAUGUGUCGAAAAAUGGAGGAGGAAAGCAAGGUACUUCGAGAUACAGCAGUAUUAAUACAGCAGAUAUUUUCAAAAAAACACCUACCAAAAGAUUGUAAUUAAUCGAAUUUAUUGAAUAUGAAUAAAGUUUAUUUUUGUUAGUA